rnacentral:sRNA from 1 species
UGAAGAUGUUGAUAGCCAAAUAAGUAAGAGGGUUUCCUUUGACUGCAUUCUUUAAAUAAUCUAUUCAUGUAUUAAUUAUUCAAUCACUGUUUAUUGACUGGUAACACACUGUGUGUGUGUGUGUGUGUGUGUGUGUAUGUGCCUGCAUUGUAGGGGUUGCCUGUGUGGACAAGUUAACAUAAUUCUGCCAGUAUCCAU